rnacentral:rRNA from 1 species
GACGAACGCUGGCGGCGUGCCUAAUACAUGCAAGUUGAGCGCUGAAGGUUGGUACUUGUACCCACUGGAUGAGCAGCGAACGGGGGAGUAACGCGUGGGGAAUCUGCCUUUGAGCGGGGGACAACAUUUGGAAACGAAUGCUAAUACCGCAUAAAAACUUUAAACACAAGUUUUAAGUUUGAAAGAUGCAAUUGCAUCACUCAAAGAUGAUCCCGCGUUGUAUUAGCUAGUUGGUGAGGUAAAGGCUCACCAAGGCGAUGAUACAUAGCCGACCUGAGAGGGUGAUCGGCCACAUUGGGACUGAGACACGGCCCAAACUCCUACGGGAGGCAGCAGUAGGGAAUCUUCGGCAAUGGACGAAAGUCUGACCGAGCAACGCCGCGUGAGUGAAGAGGGUUUUCGGAUCGUAAAACUCUGUUGGUAGAGAAGAACGUUGGUGAGAGUGGAAAGCUCAUCAAGUGACGGUAACUACCCAGAAAGGGACGGCUAACUACGUG